CAGUAGCCGCGGUAAAACGUAGGUGGCAAGCGUUGUCCGGAAUUAUUGGGCGUAAAGGGCUCGCAGGCGGUUUCUUAAGUCUGAUGUGAAAGCCCCCGGCUCAACCGGGGAGGGUCAUUGGAAACUGGGAAACUUGAGUGCAGAAGAGGAGAGUGGAAUUCCACGUGUAGCGGUGAAAUGCGUAGAGAUGUGGAGGAACACCAGUGGCGAAGGCGACUCUCUGGUCUGUAACUGACGCUGAGGAGCGAAAGCGUGGGGAGCGAACAGGAUUAGAGACCCCUGUAGUCCCUGUCUCUUAUAA
rnacentral:rRNA from 1 species